AGAAUGAGACUCUGUCUCAAAAAAAUAAAUAAAUAAAUAAAAAAUAAAUGAAGGUUCUUUUCUGAGAAAACGCCAAAUGGCGGAUGAUGCCCGUGCAGCGGGAGGGCAUGGAGGCCCCAGGGGCCCUGGAAUGGGAGGCCGUGGUGGCUUCCAUGGAGUCAGCAGCGGCAUUCGUGGCCAAGGUCACAGCCGUGAGCAGGGCCAGAGCCAAGGCCGCGGAGCUCUCAGAGGCAAGGCCGAGGACAAGGAGUGGAUGCCUGUCACCAAGAUGGGCUGCCUAGUUAAGGACAUGAAGAUCAAAUCCCUGGAGGAGAUUGAUCAUUGACUUUUUCCUGGGGCUAUCUCUCAAAGAUGAGGUUUUGAAGAUUAUGCAAGUGCAAAAGCAGACCUGCGCUGGCCAGCGGACCAAGUUCAAGGUGUUUGUUGCCAUCGGGGUCUACAGUGGUCACGUUGGUCUAGGUGUUAAGUGCUCCAAGGAGGUAGCUACUGCCAUCUGAGGGGCCAUCAUUUUGGCCAAGCUCUCCGUUGUCUCCGUGAGGAGAGACUACUGGUGGAACAAGAUGGGCAAGCCCCACACUGUUCCUUGCAAGGUGACAGGCCGCUGCGGCUCUUUGCUGGUGCGUCUCAUCCCUGCCCCUAGAGGAACUGGCAUCCUCUCAGCCCCUGUGCCCAAGAAGCUGCUGCUGAUGGCUGGUAUUAAUGACUGCUAUACCUCAGCCAGAGGCUGCACUGCCACCCUGGGCAACUUCGCAAAGGCCACCUUUGAUGCCAUCUCCAAGACCUAUAGCUAUCUGACUCCUGACCUCUGGAAAGAGACAGUAUUCACCAAGUCUACAUACCAGGAAUUCACCGACCAUCUUGUCAAGACCCACACCAGAGUCUCUGUGCAGAGGACCAGGCUCCAGCCGUGGCUACAAUGUAGCAUUUUUAUAUGAGAAAAAUUAAGUAAAAUUAAGCCUGUUUUUUUUAAAAAAAAAAAAAAAA